rnacentral:rRNA from 1 species
GAUGUGUUUGACAUUUUUGUUCAGUUCCAAAAACAUGUUGAACGCCUUCUCAAGCACAAAAUUGUUCAUGUUCAGUCGGACUGGGGUGGCGAGUAUCGCAACCUCAACUCCUUCUUUCAGUCGCUUGGGAUCACUCACCGUUUAGCAUGUCCACAUACACAUCAGCAGAAUGGUUCAGUAGAACGUAAGCAUCGUCACAUUGUUGAAGCUGGUCUGACUCUUUUGGCCCAUGCAUAUGUUCCGUUUCGUUUUUGGAGUGAUGCUUUCACCACUGCAUGUUUCCUCAUCAAUCGUACUCCCACUCGUGUUUUGAAUAUGAAGACUCCCAUUGAAGUUCUCCUUAAUGAACAA